rnacentral:rRNA from 1 species
GGGAAGAGCUCAAAUUUGAAAUCUGGCGGUCUCAGGCCGUCCGAGUUGUAAUCUAGAGAAGUGUUUUCCGUGCCGGACCGUGUACAAGUCCCUUGGAACAGGGCGUCAUAGAGGGUGAGAAUCCCGUCCAUGACACGGACUCCCGGUGCUCUGUGAUACACUUUCAAA